GGGAGCGUGGCAGAGCGGUUGAAUGCGCCGGCUUUUUCUGAGUCUGGCAAUGGUUCUUCCACCAUUCGCAGGUUCGAAUCCUGCCGCUCCCU
rnacentral:tRNA from 1 species